rnacentral:rRNA from 1 species
UAGAUACCCUGGUAGUCCACGCCGUAAACGAUGUCAACUAGCCGUUGGAAGCCUUGAGCUUUUAGUGGCGCAGCUAACGCAUUAAGUUGACCGCCUGGGGAGUACGGCCGCAAGGUUAAAGCUCAAAUGAAUUAACGGGGGCCCGCACAAGCGGUGGAGCAUGUGGUUUAACUCGAAGCAACGCGAAGAACCUUACCAGGCCUUGACAUCCAAUGAACUUUCCAGAGAUGGAUUGAUGCCUUCGGGAACA